rnacentral:rRNA from 1 species
GUGCCAGCAGCCGCGGUAAUACGGAGGAUCCAAGCGUUAUCCGGAAUCAUUGGGUUUAAAGGGUCCGUAGGUGGAUAAUUAAGUCAGAGGUGAAAUCUUGCAGCUCAACUGUAAAAUUGCCUUUGAUACUGGUUAUCUUGAGUUAUUAUGAAGUAGUUAGAAUAUGUAGUGUAGCGGUGAAAUGCAUAGAUAUUACAUAGAAUACCAAUUGCGAAGGCAGAUUACUAAUAAUCAACUGACACUGAUGGACGAAAGCGUGGGUAGCGAACAGGAUUAGAUACCCUGGUAGUCCACGCCGUAAACGAUGGUUACUAGCUGUUUGGACCUUGUGUCUGAGUGGCUAAGCGAAAGUGAUAAGUAACCCACCUGGGGAGUACGUUCGCAAGAAUGAAACUCAAAGAAAUUGACGG